rnacentral:tRNA from 1 species
GCGGCCAUGGUGGAAUUGGUAGACACGCAAGCUUGAGGUGCUUGUGGAGAGAUCCGUGGAGGUUCAAGUCCUCUUGGCCGCACCA